rnacentral:rRNA from 1 species
AGUUUGAUCCUGGCUCAGAUUGAACGCUGGCGGCAUGCCUUACACAUGCAAGUCGAACGGUAACGGGCCUUCGGGUGCCGACGAGUGGCGAACGGGUGAGUAAUGUAUCGGAACGUACCUUUCAGUGGGGAUAACGUAGCGAAAGUUACGCUAAUACCGCAUAUUCUGUGAGCAGGAAAGCAGGGGAUCGCAAGACCUUGCGCUGAUUGAGCGGCCGAUAUCAGAUUAGCUAGUUGGUGAGGUAAAGGCUCACCAAGGCGACGAUCUGUAGCGGGUCUGAGAGGAUGAUCCGCCACACUGGAACUGAGACACGGUCCAGACUCCUACGGGAGGCAGCAGUGGGGAAUUUUGGACAAUGGGGCAACCCUGAUCCAGCCAUGCCGCGUGAGUGAAGAAGGCCUUCGGGUUGUAAAGCUCUUUCGGCCGGGAAGAAAUCGUAUGGGUUAAUACCCUGUGCGGAUGACGGUACCGGCAUAAGAAGCACCGGCUAACUACGUG